rnacentral:rRNA from 1 species
AAGACCUUACGCUUUUGGAGCGGCCGAUGUCUGAUUAGCUUGUUGGUGAGGUAAAGGCUUACCAAGGCUUCGAUCAGUAGCUGGUCUGAGAGGACGACCAGCCACACUGGGACUGAGGCACGGCCCAGACUCCUACGGGAGGCAGCAGUGGGGAAUUUUGGACAAUGGGGGAAACCCUGAUCCAGCCAUGCCGCGUGAGUGAAGAAGGCCUUCGGGUUGUAAAGCUCUUUCAGCCGGGAAGAAAAGGUUGCGAUUAAUAAUCGCAAUUUAUGACGGUACCGGAAGAAGAAGCACCGGCUAACUACGUGCCAGCAGCCGCGGUAAUACGUAGGGUGCGAGCGUUAAUCGGAAUUACUGGGCGUAAAGCGUGCGCAGGUGGUUUUGUAAGUCAGAUGUGAAAGCCCCGGGCUCAACCUGGGAAC